UUUCGCAAUGCCCGAAAGGGUGACGAAGCGACGCCGCGUGGGUGAGGAAGGCCUUCGGGUUGUAAAGCCCUGUCAGGAGUUAAGAAAUGUAAGUGCGCUAAUAUCGCAUUUAUUUGACGAAGGCUCCAAAGGAAGUCACGGCUAACUCUGUGCCAGCAGCCGCGGUAAUACAGAGGUGGCAAGCGUUGUUCGGAAUUAUUGGGCGUAAAGAGCACGUAGGUGGGUUUGUAAGUCAGAUGUGAAAGCCUUCUGUUCAACGGAAGAAUUGCAUCUGAAACUACAAGUCUUGAGUGUAGGAGGGGAGAAUGGAACUUCUGGUGGAGCGGUGAAAUGCGUAGAUAUCAGAAGGAACGCCGGCGGCGAAAGCGAUUCUCUGGCCUAUUACUGACACUCAGUGUGCGAAAGCUAGGGGAGCAAACGGGAUUAGAUACCCCGGUAGUCCUAGCCGUAAACGAUGGGCACUAAGUAGAGGGGUUUU
rnacentral:rRNA from 1 species